GACGAACGCUGGCGGCGUGCUUAAAAAAUGCAAGUCGAACGGAAAGGCCCUGCUUUUGUGGGGUGCUCGAGUGGCGAAAGGGUGAGUAACACGUGAGUAACCUGCCCUUGACUUUGGGAUAACUUCAGGAAACUGGGGCUAAUACCGGAUAGGAGCUCCUGCUGCAUGGUGGGGGUUGGAAAGUUUCGGCGGGUGGGGAUGGACUCGCGGCUUAUCAGCUUGUUGGUGGGGUAGUGGCUUACCAAGGCUUUGACGGGUAGCCGGCCUGAGAGGGUGACCGGCCACAUUGGGACUGAGAUACGGCCCAGACUCCUACGGGAGGCAGCAGUGGGGAAUAUUGCACAAUGGGCGGAAGCCUGAUGCAGCAACGCCGCGUGCGGGAUGACGGCCUUCGGGUUGUAAACCGCUUUCGCCUGUGACGAAGCGUGAGUGACGGUAAUGGGUAAAGAAGCACCGGCUAACUACGUG
rnacentral:rRNA from 1 species